rnacentral:sRNA from 1 species
ACGCAGGAAAGGAGGUGGUCCGAAAGAUGAUUUCUCUCAGGACUGGCGAGGUGGCCGUCCGCUAGGACGACGCUCGCGUUCGCGACGUCGUUCGCCGCGAAUCCACGACGGACACCCGGACCCCGGGUCGCCGGAACUCGUCCGACCGGCCCCACCCCCUCGGUGGGAGGACACCCGGGGUCUGCCCCUG